rnacentral:rRNA from 1 species
UACGUAGGGACCAAGCGUUGUCCGGAAUCAUUGGGCGUAAAGAGCGUGUAGGCGGCUUGUUAAGUCUUGCGUGAAAUCUCGGGGCUCAACCCCGAGCGGUCGUGAGAAACUGGCAGGCUAGAGUGCGGGAGAGGAGAGUGGAAUUCCUGGUGUAGCGGUGAAAUGCGCAGAUAUCAGGAAGAACACCCGUGGCGAAGGCGGCUCUCUGGAACGCAACUGACGCUGAGACGCGAAAAGCGUGGGGAGCAAACAGG